GCCUUCGUGGUGUAGUGGUCAGCACGCUGGACGCGUAUUUCACAUGUCCAUGGUUCGAGUCCCGACGAAGGCA
rnacentral:tRNA from 1 species